UUUGCUCUUAAAACACCCACCCCCAAGUCAGUAGCGUGCGAGUCCCUGCACAAUGCAAGUUUCCACCUACACCACGCAGUGUAUUUAUCACAGCUCCUUCACUGAAGGCCCAACACCGUCUGCGGUGUCACCACGCACAGCAGCACCACGGAAACAAACAACAACAACCUCCUACUGGAGCAGAACCAGCAGAGCACUGUGAGGAUGGCAUUUCCUAAUUGGAGAUGCUUCUUGGGUGGUUCCACCUACUGGUGAGUUCAGCAGCAAGCUAAGGUGGUUGGAGCAACAGGUCUGCUCUCAGUAGGAGAGCAAAAAACCAAAAGGAUAUCUUCAGAGAAAAAGGAGACGCAGCUAGAGAAAGAAGAUGAAAGACACAGAAAAGGUCCAGAAGAGGUGCCCCUCCUGAACUCAAUCAGCAUGGGAAAAAAAAUUAAAAAACUGCAGCUGGAAAAAAGAAUUAGUAUGCUAUGUCCUGAAUACACAGCACUUCAUCAAAACACCUCGGACUGUGAGCUAAAGCAGCUUAAAUGAUGAUUGAUUUCAUUCUCACAAUUAACCUACUGUAUCUCUGUGGCAACCAAAGAAGUAGGAAUAGCUUGAUAAUGACCUGGCUUUAUUCCUUGGAAGCACCCAGCACCGUAAGCUGGUCAAAACCUGCCAGAAUUGGUAUGCUAGAACACGCACGAGCAUUGGCUGCAAGCAGAGGACCAAAUGAGACAUGAGAUGGUGCUGAAAGGAUAUCAGGAUCUCCAAAGCAGUUCAGACACAGCUCCAUCCACACAUGUCAAGGAUCAAAUUAUGCUAAGUCACGCUUAAACCAAAGGAGAAGCAAAGAGGCAAGAAGCGGUGAGGGCCAACACAAAGCCACCUCACAGCUCUGCUGGCUACGAGCGAUCCAUGGAGAAAGGGGAUGGAGAAGCUGCACACCCAAGCACCAGCAACCAGAGCUGAAAACAGCCGUGGAACUGUGGUGCCACCUCUUGUCACUUCUUGGCACCUGAGUGAGAGAUGUGCUGAGCUACACUAAGGCAGCUCGCUGGGGCUGGGUCAGGUGCGUAGUGCAGUUGGUUCCCACAAGUCCCACACAAGUCCCAGGGAGGGAAGAGUAAGUAUCUUUUUUUUGGGGUCCUGCUUUAGCAAGCAGCAAAACUAGCAUGAGACACACUUCUUUAAAAGAAAAAAAAAAAAGAGGAAUAAAAGGAAAAAAAAAGAAAAGAUUUUUUUUCUCUCAAGAUGGAAUACACAAUUCUCAAAGAUUUUGCAGAGCAUGUCAUUUUUAAACAAUUUGCACUAUGUAAACCUUCAUCUUGGGACACCCACCUGGGGAGGGUUGCUAUGUUUUUGAGGGGAUUUUCUUCCUAGUGAAGUAAAUUUAUUAGAACUAUUAAUACUCAACAUUAA